AGUUUUUGCACUGGCAUCUGAAUUUCAUUUAUGGAAGAAAUGUGCUGAAAGUAUUGUUUCUGAAUCAUGAAUCUAGAAUUCCAUCUACAGCAGGGUCUAAUGACUGCAUCUGUUCAGAAGAAUUCCUUAAUCUCUAAGAGCUGCAUGGAAAACAACAAGCAAAACUGAUUUUGUGCUAACUGCAGCUCAUUUCUAUUCUUUCAGAAAGAUGGAAUUAUGUACUCCAAUCCAGUGUCACUGGAACUUAUACCUUUAUCUCACCGAGUUGCUACUCCUUGAAUUAGGAAGAUGCAAAAGAACUGUCUUCCUUCCCUUCAGUUGAAACUACUCUCAGUGAAAAUUUUAUGAGCGAUAAAUAGGAAAAGAAAUACACUGGUAAUAUUCAACGUGAGUCAACCUCUGUCUGCUCAGAAGAGUGAAAGAAUGAAUUGUGAAUUGUUGCUCUGUCAUAUUAACAAAUCUCCCUGAGGUGAGUUGCUGGCGAAGUUAUGUUUCCUUCAUUAUCUGUGUUCUAGUUACUUAUGCAUUUUAAUAAGAUGGUUUUCAGUAUCACAAGGUGAGUGGUUCUUCCUGAUGCUUUUUGUACAUCUGCCUUCCAACCUAAUGUCAUUAAUCUUAAAACAACAUCAACAAAAACAAUAAAACCAACAAAAAGCAGUCCAUGAAUAAAUGGCAUAGUAUUGUGUGUACUUCUUAACCAGACUGAAGUAAAUUCACUGAGAAAGUCAAUUCAUUUUUAAAUUCUUUGUAAGGUCACUGGGAUUUCCAAGUUUUAUACAUACACUGGACAUCUAUCUGCACUGCUGCUGUCAGAGAGCACUAGUCUUUAUUGCAAUAGUAUUACAUCUUAACAAACUACCUACAAAAGUUAAGGAAGUAGGCCAGCCAUUCUAUCCUGAACCAGCUUGAAAUGCUCCCUGUGCAAAGCCUUUUUGGGUGGAAGAGCUAACUGGAAGCUGAAGGAGCUGCCUGUACCUCCCCAAGAACGUGUAGCUAUUGUCACAAAGCUGUGGAUUAGUGCAGUUGCCCUGUUGAUGCAUUCCUUCUAAUAUGUAGUGCCCUGGUGGCUGAACAUAGUAUUGUUUUGAAUGGGAAUCACUGUGGUCUCUUUUCUAGUUGACUGUAUCUUUUGUCGUUUUAAAUUUUCGAAUUUUCUGUUGCUUUGAUAUAUCAGCUUCCAGCAUUAUCAGCACUCUUGUUCUCAAUGUUCUGUUAAAUUAAAUGUCAAGAGGUGAUGACUCAUGCCUCACUGGUACCAUCUUUCACUUUAUCAUAUGAAAUAUACGUUUUUGACUACACCAUUCUUUUCUGUAGUACUUUGAUAUGUAGUGACACUGCUUAAGAUUUCAAAGAGUUCAAGGCUAUGUGCCCAAUCCUUCUCUACUUCUCUGAAAAGAAACCACCCAGAACAAACACCGCUUAAACUCUUGCCCUGUAAGCUGAAGCCUGUUGCCAGAUGUCUAGUUUUACACCACAGAUGCAAACUUCACAAAAAAUUCUGACUGUAUCUGUGUUAGUAUCAUCUCUUUGAAUGGCAAAUGUGGAAUUUCUACUUGGCGUAGUUUGCACUAGGGUGUUGGCAUAGGAAAUAUGGUGAACCCAGGAGCAGUGAAGUGUCAUUUUGUGAUCCAUAAAUUCCGGUAGGACUCUUGUUAGAUUGAGUAACCAGGUAGAGUUAGCAGAAUCAGGUGGCUGCUUUGCCCACUUCUAAUCAGACUCAGCAUGCCUGCUGUUGUGCUAAGCAAACAUCUUGCCCUCUAAUCAGCUGACCAUUUCAGGUUUAGUUUUAUUCUAGUUCUUAAUCUGAGGCUACGUUUAAGAAGUCAUGAAUUACUGUAGAUAAGGAUGGGUUUAGGUGUCUCACUAAAACUUCUUUCCAUUUUCCCAUAGGUGGCUGUACUAAACCAAGAUGAAUGUGUUUAACCUUAGUUUAAAAGCUUGGCUAGUUUGGAAUUAAGAAAUUCUAACUUAGGAAUCAAAGUCCCCAGACAGCAAAUAGUCUCAAAAUGUCGAGUGGUAAGAACGCUGUCAAUAUAAUAGUGGCUUCAGCUACGAAAAACCCAGGCAAAACACACAGUCAAAAAAUAUAUCAUGAUGAUGAACUGAAGUCUUGCUUCCUUCUUUUUGUAAUAUCCAAAGGUGAGUCUGUACUGCCACGGAAUAAACUGAGACAUUUCCUUAAUUUAUUCUAGUGUCAUGUAAAUUUAUAAAUGGCAAAUUUUGUAACAAUUACUUCUGUAAAGCGUACUUAAAGUGUACGUAUUAUAUCACCUACUAAAUCAUGGAUAACCAACCUUUUGGUUUGCUUGGGCCAUAAUGAGUGAAAAGGAAUAGUCAUAUUCAUGUCAACUGAAAAAGGAGUUGUGAAUAUGCAAAAAAAAAAAAAAAAAAAAA